rnacentral:rRNA from 1 species
UACGUAGGGUGCAAGCGUUAAUCGGAAUUACUGGGCGUAAAGCGUGCGCAGGCGGCUUUGCAAGACAGAUGUGAAAUCCCCGGGCUUAACCUGGGAACUGCAUUUGUGACUGCAUGGCUGGAGUGCGGCAGAGGGGGAUGGAAUUCCGCGUGUAGCAGUGAAAUGCGUAGAUAAUGCGGAGGAACACCGAUGGCGAAGGCAAUCCCCGUGG